UACGUAGGUUGCAAGCGUUAUCCGGAAUUAUUGGGCGUAAAGCGCGCGCAGGCGGUUUCUUAAGUCUGAUGUGAAAGCCCACGGCUCAACCGUGGAGGGUCAUUGGAAACCGGGAGACUUGAGUGCAGAAGAGGAAAGUGGAAUUCCAUGUGUAGCGGUGAAAUGCGUAGAGAUAUGGAGGAACACCAGUGGCGAAGGCGACUUGCUGGUCUGUAACUGACACUGAGGCGCGAAAGCGUGGGGAGCAAACAGG
rnacentral:rRNA from 1 species